rnacentral:rRNA from 1 species
UUUCCAGACUCCUACGGGAGGCAGCAGUGGGGAAUAUUGGGCAAUGGGCGCAAGCCUGACCCAGCAACGCCGCGUGAAGGAAGAAGACUUUCGGGUUGUAAUCUUCUUUUCUCAGGGACGAAGCAAGUGACGGUACCUGAGGAAUAAGCCACGGCUAACUACGUGCCAGCAGCCGCGGUAAUACGUAGGUGGCAAGCGUUAUCCGGAUUUACUGGGUGUAAAGGGCGUGUAGGCGGGACUGCAAGUCAGAUGUGAAAACCACGGGCUCAACCUGUGGCCUGCAUUUGAAACUGUAGUUCUUGAGUACUGGAGAGGCAGACGGAAUUCCUAGUGUAGCGGUGAAAUGCGUAGAUAUUAGGAGGAACACCAGUGGCGAAGGCGGCUUACUGGACUGUAAAUGACGCUGAGGCUCGAAAGCGUGGGGAGCAAACAGGAUUAGAUACCCCUGUA